rnacentral:lncRNA from 1 species
UUCACUUUUAAGCCCGAAUUGUGUAACCAGAAAGAUACUAUCGGAAAAGGUUUUCCACCGGCGCUUCCUGAUAUUCCUGCGCCGUUCUUGCCGCCGAUCGGUGGAGGUAUUUUACCUCCUCUUCCGGUGCCGGAUGUACCCAUGCCACCUCUAAUUCCCCCGCUACCACAGCUCCCUGGUAUUCCACUUCCACCUGUUACCCGCCAAAAAUCAUCGGAAUCCGAUAGAUUGGCCGAUCAAAAAAGUUUUGGUUUCCCGUUUCCACCGCCACUGUUCCCACCGCUGCCGUUUGUGCCAUCGCCGCCGUCAUUGAUUCCUCCCGUCAUUCCAACACCACCACCGUCACUGUUCCCUCCCCUCGUUCCAUCAACACCACCAUCAUUGUUUCCUCCCCUCGUUCCAUCACCACCAUCAUCGAUGUUUCCACCAUUGCCCUUUCCACCUGUACCAGGUUUGAUUCCAUCACCGCCGCCGCCACCACCGCCGGCGUUCCCAAUUCCUCUGCCUCCACUACCUCCGCUACCUCCGCUACCUCCAGUACCUCCGGUACCAGGAGUCCCACCGGCGAAAACCUCCCCUUGAUUAAACUCGUAUAUAUUUAAUAUUAUUACUGCAUAACCUUUUGAAGUAACCUUUCCAUACAUACGCGCGUAUUACAAUUAUGGGUAUUGUAAUUGUAGCAUGAAUAAAUCGUACAUGGUAAAAUGGUUGGGAUUCCUAUAAAUAGUUUAAAAUUUUUGAGAUCCAAUUAUGCGUUCUGAGUAUUGUUUAAUAGAUAGCAUU